UUCAGAGUAAUAAAGGUGACAAGUAAAUGUUAUGAAAUAGAUCACAUUUUAAGUAAAUAUUUGUUGUAUUUAACAUACAAAGUGAACAUGUAAUGAAAUAGAUCCUGUCCUAGAAUUUUAUGUAAUUGAACAUUACAGGUAACAAAUGUGAUGAUCAUCUGAGGUAAUACAUUUUAUGAACAUUUUAAAAAAAUAUUUUUUAAAUAUAAAAUUCGUUAAA